UAUUGCUUUGCACAUGUCGGUCUGUAGGUCGGUCCGUCCACCAGGUGGUUUCCGGAUGAUAACUCAAGAACGCUUGGGGCUAGGAUCAUGAAACUUCAUAGGUACAUUGAUCAUGACUUGCAGAUGACCCCUAUUGAUUUUGAGGUCACUAGGUCAAAGGUCAAGGUCACGGUGACCCGAAAUAGUAAAAUGGUUUCCGGAUGAUAACUCAAGAAUGCAUACGCCUAGGAUCAUGAAACUUCAUGGGUAGAUUGAUCAUGACUCGCAGAUGACCCCUAUUGAUUUUGAGGUCACUAGGUCAAAGGUCAAGGUCACGGUGACCCGAAAUAGUAAAAUGGUUUUCGGAUGAUGACUCAAGAAUGCAUAUGCCUAGGAUGAUGAAACUUCAUAGGUACAUUGAUCGUGACUCGCACAUGACCCCUAUUGAUUUUCAGGUCACUAGGUCAAAGGUCAAGGUCACAGUGACAAAAAACGUAUUCACACAAUGGCUGCCACUACAACAGACAGACCAUAUGGGGGGCAUGCAUGUUUUACAAACAGCCCUUGUUAUGUAUUUGUACUAACUUGUAAAAUUUUAGUAUGGUACUUCUUCCUGUUUAUUCAAGCAUUUGUAUAUUCUUGAAAUUUCGAACGUUUUACAACUGAUGUCAAUGUAUAUAUAACUUUGUUGUGCAGGUUGUUAAGAGAGUAAUACAAUAAAGAAUAAGCUCUCCAGUGA